rnacentral:sRNA from 12 species
GCCCUCGUCGUGUCCGGUAGCAGUAAUGCCCGGGUGGUUCUGCAUUUGAGACCAUAGGAGCACGUAACGGGGGCUU